GUUAUGCCCCUUACAGAAAGGUCAAAUCUCUUCGGUCAAAAUGUAACAAAGUUGCGCCUUAAUGAUCCAAACAUUUUCCACUAUUCAAAACUUCUAUAAGUAUAAUGGUUUCUGAGAUAAUCCCAUAACAAGGUGUAAGGUCAAAGGUCAAGGUCAACAUACACAUUUGACCUUGAGGUAUUUUUCAAAGUCACAUGAAUUGAUGAUGAAUGGUGAAGAUCCUAGGUGUCUACGACUUACGGUUUCUGAGUUUUGUUGGUCAACCGACACCGGUUAAUUUUCAUAGGGGCAUAACCCUACCAAUGAGUCGUUGAAUCCUUUCGAUCCAAAUGUAACGAAGAACCGGGGUCUGGUCCUGAACAAAUUUCACCCUUCGCUUUUUUUCUACCUCUUACGGUUACGGUGUUUGAACGAUAACAAGGUUUUUUGGUUUCGGAGGGAUUACUCCGAACCGACAAAAUAUUUCGACUCACAGGGUGAGUUCCGGAUAGGUAUUCAUGACACCGAUACAAAGUGUGAACAUGAAAGCGACACGUCUUACGGUUAACGCGGAUAAAUUUGUCAAAGUUUGGCGGAAGAAUAAUAAUAAUAAUUAAACUGUCAAUUGUUCUUGAACAAUUGAGAGGUCUUUCCUUUUGUAAUGUAAAAUACAUGUUCCAACAGACGUAGAAUGUAUUGAAAAGGUCAAGGUCAACCUUAAAAAGCUCGAAAACACACUAAAAAUCCUUUAUAUAAGGUUAAAAACACUAAAUUCGCUAUCUGGGACAUGACCUUGACCUUUGACCUUUUGACCUUUGUCAAGGUCAUUACUCCCCAAUGCCAUUACUGAAGACCCCAAGGGUCUAGGACCUUUGGUUAUAUAGUAAAAGCUGAUUUUGUCUUUUCAGAAACCUAAAACAGGGGUUAUGCCCCUUAUAGAAAGGUCAAAUCUCUUUGGUCAAAAUGUAACAAAGUUGCGCCAUAAUGACCAAACAUUUUCCACUAUUUAAAACUUCUGUAAGUAUAAUGG
rnacentral:lncRNA from 1 species